CCUACGGGAGGCAGCAGUGGGGAAUCUUGCGCAAUGGGCGAAAGCCUGACGCAGCGACGCCGCGUGCGGGAUGAAGGCCUUCGGGUUGUAAACCGCUUUCAGCAGGGACGAUUGUGACGGUACCUGCAGAAGAAGCCCCGGCCAACUACGUGCCAGCAGCCGCGGUAAUACGUAGGGGGCAAGCGUUGUCCGGAUUUAUUGGGCGUAAAGAGCUCGUAGGCGGUUUGGUAAGUCGGGUGUGAAAUCUCCACGCUCAACGUGGAGGGGCCACCCGAUACUGCCAUGACUGGAGUCCGGUAGAGGAGUGCGGAAUUCCCGGUGUAGCGGUGAAAUGCGCAGAUAUCGGGAGGAACACCCGUAGCGAAGGCGGCACUCUGGGCCGGUACUGACGCUGAGGAGCGAAAGCGUGGGGAGCAAACAGGAUUAGAUACCCUGGUAGUCCACGCCGUAAACGUUGGGCACUGGGUGUGGGGCUCUAUCGACGGGUUCCGUGCCGCAGCUAACGCAUUAAGUGCCCCGCCUGGGGAGUACGGCCGCAAGGCUAAAACUCAAAUGAAUUGACGGGG
rnacentral:rRNA from 1 species